rnacentral:rRNA from 1 species
UACAGAGGUCUCAAGCGUUGUUCGGAUUCAUUGGGCGUAAAGGGUGCGUAGGUGGCGCUGUAAGUCAGGUGUGAAAUUUCGGAGCUUAACUCCGAAACUGCAUUUGAUACUGCGGUGCUUGAGGACUGGAGAGGAGACUGGAAUUUACGGUGUAGCAGUGAAAUGCGUAGAGAUCGUAAGGAAGACCAGUGGCGAAGGCGGCUCACUGGCUCGGUACUGACGCUGAUGAAUGCGAAAGCGUAGGGGAGCGGAAACAACGAUUGUGAAACCCGUAACCGU